GCCCGCCUAGCUCAAUCGGAUAGAGCGUCAGACUCUUACCAAACUAGGCAGGUAUCUGAAGGCUGCGAGUUCGACCCUCGCGGUGGGCU
rnacentral:tRNA from 1 species